UAAUUUGUAAAUUUAGUUAAUGUGAAAAAAUUAUUAAAAAUUAUAAAUUUGAAGUGAAAUGUUAAUCGAUUAAAUUGAUAUCUAGUUUUUUUAGAAAUGAAUUUAAUUCAGUUAUUUAAUUAAAUUUAUAUUUUUAUUUAUAUAAAUUAAAUUAAAUAAUAAAUAUUUUUGGGAUAAUCUAAGAAUAAAAAUAAUAAUUAAUUUAAAAUUUUAAGAAUUAAAAUAUUUAUAAAAAUAGAAAUUUUUAAUAAAAAUGUUAUAAUUUAAAAAAAGAAUUAGAUGAUUUUUUUUUAAUUUUAUUUAAUUAUAAAAAUAAUUAUUUAAAUAGAUUAAUAUAAUGAAAUAAUGAUUAAAUUAGUAAAUUUAAUUUGUAAGUUUAAAAUAAAAAAUUUAAAUAAAUUUAAAGAAUUCGACAAAUAAUUUAUCCACCUGUUUAUCAAAAACAUGUCUUAUUGAAGAUAAUUUUAAGUCAAUUCUGCCCAUUGAAAUUUUUUAAAUGGCUGCGGUAAUUUGACCGUACAAAGGUAGCAUAAUCAAUUGUUUUUUAAUUGAGAACUAGAAUGAAAGAAUUAAUGAGAUAAAAAUUGUUUCAAUUUUAAAUAUUGAAUUUAAGAUUUAAGUUAAAAUGCUUAAAUGAUUUAUUAGACAGAGACCCUAUAGAUUAAUAAAUUAUUUUAAAUGAUAAAAAUAUAA
rnacentral:rRNA from 1 species